AGAAUAAUUGUUAGAUAAUAUGGUAAGAGUAAUUUAAAAAAAUCUGCCAAACUGUCUUCCAAAGUCGCUAUACCAUUCUGCAUUCCCACCAUCAAU
rnacentral:pre_miRNA from 1 species